AAAGACAGGAUGAUAUGCUGUUUGCAGUGCCUCACUAGUGCUCCCACAAGACCGAGUGAUGAAGUAGUUAUGGGCAUCUACAGGCAGCAGAUGUUUGGAUUUGUGACUGAUCAAACUUAUGUUCACUGGACUUUGUCCCUGAAUGCCGGAAGGCCAAACUAACCACCCAGUGAGCUGGAAAUGGAUGCAAAAGCCAUAACCAAUGCCAGAAAGAUGGCAGUGUCUGUGAAGCAUGACACCCUUGCAGGCAUUUGACUUCCUGCAAGGCAGGAAGCUCAAGGACCUUUGGGGAUAAAACAACCCUCAAUAUUAAUUGACCUCUAAUGCUCAUGGACUGAUGUGCUGUGAUUUGCAUGAUCCUCCCCGACACAAAC